AUUGAACCAAAAAGAAGGAAAUUUUCUGCAGAUUUUUAUUUUUGCAGAUUUGAAUGAACAACAAAACUCAUCAAAUAAAACUUUACAUUUAUCAUAUGAAAUCCAAAUCUAAACCCUUUAUCAUGGUGAUGGGUUUAGAUCAGAAAAUGAGUUUUUGUGAAGGUUUGAUGAUGAUGAUGAUGAUGAUGAUGAUGAAGGGUUUAGAUUGAAUUUGAAAAUGAGUUUAUUAUUUUUCUCCAUUUUCUGUUUCCAUGCUUAAGAAUCAAUUUGUUUUCUUCCAAUUUCAAUUUCAAGGUUCGAUUUUUUUUCUUCAGUUUUUUGUUUUGUUGGGUUUUUUCAUGAAGGUUGAUGAGGAAGAAGAUGAAGAAGUUGAAUGAAGGUGAUGACUUGUACAAACC
rnacentral:lncRNA from 1 species